AUGGAGCGGAUACGGCUGAUGCUUGGGGCUCUGCUCCUCUCCCUCUCUCUGCCCAAUCUCCCUGCCCAAGAUAAUGUCACCGUCACUGUACCUGAGAAUGUCACCAUGGCAGCACCUAUUAAUGAGGAAGUCACGAUGGCAGCCUCUACACCGGAGGCCACCAUAGAGACAACGCCUGCUCCUAUGGUCAUCACUAGGGCACAGCCUGCCCCUGAAAUCAUCAUCCCGGUAACUGCUAUUCCGAAAGUAACUUCUGUUUUAGUACCUACCACUGAUGCCAUCACUAUGGUAAUAACAAACCCUGAGAUCACCAUCGUUCAGGAGUCCACCUCUGAUGCACCAACUACUACUUCAGAGGUUGAAACGAUGACACCUUCCCCUGUGACCACUGAAGGGCCUAUAGAUACGACCAAUCCACCUGAUCCUAAACCCACCCUCUCCCAAGACGUCCUUAUGACCGCCUCUUAUCUCCCAACCCCUUCCCAGGACCACCUGACUUUUGUUAUCCCAGUCUGGCCCCUCCAAACCACCCCUCGUCUGACGGAGGACUCCAUUCCACUCACACCUGAACCUACACCUGCCUCAGAGAUUACUGCCUGCCACACAGAGGGACUUACCACUGCACCCACCUCCCCAUUGGUCAAUACCCCUCCCGGCCAUGCCACGACCCCCUCUACCACCCACACCUCCACAGAUCCAGACUCUACGGUGGCUGGGGUCAGGGUGAAGACAGGUCAGCCCAGCUUGUUAUGGGUCAUCAUCGUUGCUCUCCUGAUCGUGGUUAUAUUCGCGGGCGGGUUCUACUGUGUUUGUCUGGUCAUCAGACGAAAGAGGCAGAGCCACACCGAGUACUUUGUGUCCAGCUUCCGGAACGGGAAGAGUUCCAAGCGGAAGAAAGGGGCGGAGGAAGACGCCUGGGCAGGGCCAGUGAAGCUAGGGCGUGGGGAUGGGGAGGAGGAUGAGGGUGGGGAGGAGGGAGGGAGCCCAGAGGACAACAAGAGAGAGGGGGCUGGAACGGAUGUGGUGCUGAGCACAUUCAUAGCCAACGAGACUGAGGGAGAGAGGGGUGGGCCUGAUGGGGGAGUAGGAGUGGCUGGGAGCAAGGAGGCAGAGAAAUGGGAGGAGAAGGAGCCUCUGCUGUACAUUGAUGAGGGAGUGGAGGAGGGGCAAGAGAGGAUGGCUCCUCCUUCACUUUCAAAAUCGAACUGA
rnacentral:lncRNA from 1 species